CAUGCAAGUCGAGCGCGAAUAGGGGCAACCCUUAGUAGAGCGGCGCACGGGUGCGUAACACGUGGAUAAUCUGCCUGGAUGCCCGGGAUAACCAGUCGAAAGAUUGGCUAAUACCGGAUAAGCCCACGGCCUCUUCGGAGACUGAGGGAAAAGGUGGCCUCUGUAUACAAGCUAUCACAACCAGAUGAGUCCGCGGCCCAUCAGCUAGUUGGCGGGGUAAUGGCCCACCAAGGCAACGACGGGUAGCUGGUCUGAGAGGACGAUCAGCCACACUGGAACUGAGACACGGUCCAGACUCCUACGGGAGGCAGCAGUGGGGAAUUUUGCGCAAUGGGCGAAAGCCUGACGCAGCAACGCCGCGUGUGUGAUGAAGGUCUUUGGAUUGUAAAGCACUUUCGACCGGGACGAAAACCCGUUGGCUAACAUCCAACGGCUUGACUGUACCGGGAGAAGAAGCACCGGCUAACUCUGUGCCAGCAGCCGCGGUAAUACAGAGGGUGCAAGCGUUGUUCGGAAUUAUUGGGCGUAAAGCGCGUGUAGGCGGCGUGACAAGUCGGGUGUGAAAGCCCUCAGCUCAACUGAGGAAGUGCGCCCGAAACUGUCGUGCUUGAGUGCCGGAGAGGGUGGCGGAAUUCCCCAAGUAGAGGUGAAAUUCGUAGAUNUGGGGAGGAACACCGGUGGCGA
rnacentral:rRNA from 1 species